rnacentral:rRNA from 1 species
AGCAGUCGCCGCGGUAAUACGUAGGGUGCAAGCGUUAAUCGGAAUUACUGGGCGUAAAGCGUGCGCAGGCGGUUAUAUAAGACAGAUGUGAAAUCCCCGGGCUCAACCUGGGAACUGCAUUUGUGACUGUAUAGCUAGAGUACGGCAGAGGGGGAUGGAAUUCCGCGUGUAGCAGUGAAAUGCGUAGAUAUGCGGAGGAACACCGAUGGCGAAGGCAAUCCCCUGGGCCUGUACUGACGCUUAUGCACGAAAGCGUGGGGAGCAAACAGGAUUAGAUACCCGCGUAGUCCCUGUCUCUUAUAC